CUCUUACCGGUUCUCGUUUGAUCACCGAAGUCAAGCAUCAUUGGGCGCGGUCAGUACUUGGGUGGGUGACCACCUGGGAACACCGCGUGCCGUU
rnacentral:rRNA from 1 species